UACGUAGGGCGCAAGCGUUAAUCGGAAUUACUGGGCGUAAAGCGUGCGCAGGCGGUUUUGUAAGUCUGUCGUGAAAUCCCCGGGCUCAACCUGGGAAUUGGCGAUGGAGACUGCAAGGCUAGAAUCUGGCAGAGGGGGGUAGAAUUCCACGUGUAGCAGUGAAAUGCGUAGAGAUGUGGAGGAACACCGAUGGCGAAGGCAGCCCCCCUGGGUCAAGAUUGACGCUCAUGCACGAAAGCGUGGGGAGCAAACAGGAUUAGAGUACCCG
rnacentral:rRNA from 1 species